AGCUCCAAUAGCGUAUAUUAAAGUUGCUGCAGUUAAAAAGCUCGUAGUUGCAUUUCCGAGGCAAGGGAUUAGUCCGACCUUUGGUGGGUAUUUAAUCCUCUUGCCUCGUCCUUGAGUGGUGCUUCUUGGUAUUAAGUUAUCGAGGAGAUAGCCGCUCAUCGUUUACUGUGAGAAAAUUAGAGUGUUCAAAGCAGGCUUAUGCCGUUGAAUAUAUUAGCAUGGAAUAAUAAGAUAGGACCUCGGUACUAUUGUGUUGGUUUGAGAACCAAGGUAAUGAUGAAUAGGGACAGUUGGGAGUAUUCGUAUUCAGUUGUCAGAGGUGAAAUUCUUAGAUUUACGGAAGACGAACUACUGCGAAAGCAUUUACCAAGGAUGUUUUCA
rnacentral:rRNA from 1 species